AUGAAAGUUUCAUUUUGACUUGAGUGUUCCUUUAAAGUGAUGGCUCUUUUUCAUAUCUAACAUAGAACCCCGCAGGUAAUGACAAACUGAUGAUUAAUGAUUCUGGGGGAGGUUCUUGUCCACCAAUAAAGCUGUGAGAGUUGCCCUUAUCAGACAAUGCACCCCAUUUACUAGAAGCAUCUCUGGUUCAUUCAUGUGGAAUUACUCUGACAGCUCUGACAAUUACUUCUACAAACACAAGUGGACUCUCACUGCACUAAAGUGCUUCUGAUGCUUUCCAAGGAUAUACAUCUGAGGUUACUCCAGAGAGGGAGGAACUGAGACCUUGGUGUAUAUCUGACUGUAUAGCUGACAGAAAUAAGAGACUAGGUCAUUACACAUCCUGCACAAUGGGAUCCAUCCAGCACAACUUGAAUCCUGGUGUGAUCAUUUCUUCUCUCCUGCUUUAAAGGGACAUUACGUCCUGCAUGUUAGGAUCCAUCCAGCACAACUUUAAAGCAUACACUGUUUGGGAUGAAAUUAACCUGACACAAGGGAUUCGCUUUACACCACCUUAUAAGAAGCAGCAACGAUCUGACAGAAGGGAGAGAUCCGUGGUGAUACUAAGCCCCGACUGAACGAUACACUUACCUCAUAGGAUUGAGGUUAAGUUUGCUGCAUUUUUACACUGUUGCAGUUAAUAAAAAGAGAAGAAAUGGGAGGAACUCUUCCUACAGUUUCCUGAAAGAAAGACAUCCCCCCUCUAAAGAAGACAGCAAGGACAUGACACUGCAGAAAUUGCAACAUAUAGGGAAAACAUUUAUCCUUGUUAGGGGAGGCUGCAGCUAAUAAACAAGAAGAAAAUAAACAUAAAGUGAAGGCCAGAAUAGUUCUGAUUUGGAGCAUAAUAAAUAUAACAACAUUACAUAUAUACAAUAAACACACAUCACAUAUACACAUACAUAUAAAAUACACACGACAUAUAUAUAAAUGCACACACAGACAUCCAAAUACACACGCACACAAAUACAAAUACACACGCACACAAAUACAAAUACACACGCACACAAAUACAAAUACACACGCACACAAAUACAAAUACACGCACACAAACAUACAUUUUUUUAUUUAUUUAUUAUUUAUUUUAUUUUUUGCAUUAGUCCCAAAGUAAUUAAAUGAACGGUCUCUUUUUAAAAAAAAAAUGAACAUACAAAAAAAAUGCAUGCAACACAACAAAACAAAAUUAGUUGAUUAAAAGUUCAAAUUUAUACUUUUCAAAAAGGAUCUAGAAAUGUACUUAUUAGUUGAUUAAUUCCUGGGUCAUCUAAGAACCAUGUAAGCUACACAUUUGUUGACCAUUCCUAACCUCAUAAAAAUAAAAUUAAACUACACUGCUGCUGGCACGUAGCAGUAGCUCUAGCUACUACUUUAAAAUACACUAAAGUCAAAAUUAAAUGUUCAUGAUUCAUGACAACAACUUUUCAAUUAACUUAAUUUAUCAAAUUUACUUUCUCUUGGUAUCCUUUGUUUAAGAUUAAGAAAAUAUAACACCCCUAUAAAGGAGGAGUUAAGGUGUGAGAAAGGCUAGACUCUCAAAACAUGGGGUCACAACAGGGUAGACCUAUGUAUCACUGUAGGGCAGUGCCUGGUUCCCGGGUUAGAGUAUCAAAAAAGUUAAAGAGAGAGAAAAGAGGUAGCAUAUGGCACACUUAUAUUAAGAGUCAAGACAUUCAUAUCAAAGGGAAGGAGAUUGAAGGACAUAUCAUAUUUAAAAUAUAACAUUUAUUAGUAUAAUAAAAUAUAAAUUGACAAUACAAAUUAAAACACAAAAAUUAGAGAUUCUUGUGGUACACACAUAGUGUCCUGAUCUAGUUGCAUAUGCAGUAUCAACGUUGCAAUUAAUUCCAAAGGGGAAAGAUACUUAACAUAUGUAUUGUAUGUCAGUUCUAAAACUUAACUGACCAAUGUUAUACUGUCCCCAGUACUACUUAUUUAUCAAAUGCGUGAAAACUUGGAAGAUUCCAGUUAGCGAGCUUCUAUCAAAAUUGGCACAUAUAUAUCGUAAGGAGACAAAAGUUACCACAAAAAUGGACUUGGUACCAAAGGUGUAUGUGUGUACAAGGGAUGACAAAGUGUCUUCAGUAAUUAAAAAUAAAGAAAAGUAAGACAAUGUAUAAAAACAACAUAUAGUGUGUUGCGAACAAACACACUUGCAAAUUUAAUACUCGCUCCCCUCAAAUGCAAAGUGAAAUUUUACACGAUCGAUAGUAAUCAGAUAUAGUGCAAAUAAGCUACAAAAAAUAUGUAUAGUAAUGUCAAAUACCUAAACUGGUUCAGAAAGGUUCAACAUAACCCGUGUGGUGAUGUAUACACCUACAUUUUCAUAUAUAUAUAUAUAUAUAUAUAUAUAUAUAUAUAUACACACACACAUAUAUAUAUACAUAUAUACACACAUACUCGCAAAAAUAUUUAUUUAUUUUAGUUUAAGCAGUGUUAAAUCCUGUUUUCUUGUGUUUGUAAUGUUUGACUGUAUGAAGGAAUCCACCUGAAAUUUUGUAAUUUUGUUUGUUAUUUAACUAUCAGCUUAAAAGUCUGAAGUAAACCUCGUCGUUAUUAGGUCAUUAACUUUUUUUUUUUUAAAUGCAGAUAGACAGGAUGAGAUGAGGAUGACAUAGCUAAAGCAAAAAACAAAUAGCAAACUUCAUAAUAUUUGGAAAUGAGUUGGAUAUAAUAAAGCAUUGUGAUCUUAGUAUAGAAAAUAAAUUCAUUUUUAUAUCCUUAA